rnacentral:rRNA from 1 species
CUACGGGGUGCUGCAGUGAGGAAUAUUGCACAAUGGGGGGAACCCUGAUGCAGCAACGCCGCGUGGAGGAUGACGCAUUUCGGUGUGUAAACUCCUUUUAUAUGUCAAGAAAAUGACGGUAGCAUAUGAAUAAGCACCGGCUAACUCCGUGCCAGCAGCCGCGGUAAUACGGAGGGUGCAAGCGUUACUCGGAAUCACUGGGCGUAAAGGACGCGUAGGCGGGUUGGAAAGUCAGGUGUGAAAUCCUACAGCUUAACUGUAGAACUGCACUUGAAACUUCUAAUCCAGAGUAUGGGAGGGGGAGAUGGAAUUAGUGGUGUAGGGGUAAAAUCCGUAGAUAUCACUAGGAAUACCUAAAGCGAAGGCGACCUCCUGGAACAUUACUGACGCUAAGGCGUGAAAGCGUGGGGAGCAAACAGGAUUAGAUACCCUAGUAGUC